rnacentral:rRNA from 1 species
CUCAUCAGUUAGGCUGCCUCUCAUGAAUAUCUCUGAUUUUAGAAGCUAAGCAGAGUUAGGCCUGGUUAGUAUUUGGAUGGGGGACCACAUGCAAAUACCAUGUGCUGUAUGUGA